AAGCUCAAGGAGUUAAAGAAGGAGAAUCAAGCAAGGGAAAGGCGAAGGUCAUCGAGUAGCCGACUUGGACUAUUUUUACCCAACACAAGGUUCCUUGGGCUCGUCUCCUUUUGGGUGUUCGUAACCGUCAACGAAGUCAUCACACCGGCGAGCAAUCUUUGGUAUUGUCUUCUUAGUCGACUUAGGAGAACAUUUGGCAUGUAUGAGCUAUUUUGUUUUGUUAAAUUUUGGGUUGUAAACUUUAAGCCAUGUGAAAAUGGCCUAUGUGGUCGUUUGAGUGGGAUGCUAGAAUCUAUAGCCACGAGUCUUAGAAAUCUUAAUUUUGAUAAGGUGGCCAUAAUUUGUGUCACGUAUGAUGGAUGAGUAGUAAGACUAAGGAAGGAUUCAUGAAAUUGGCAUAGUCUACUGCAGUAACUGUUGCGGACAGCAGCAGUGAUAUGAGAUCGAAAAAUCACUAAAAAUAGUAGAAGUGGAAUUAAUAGCUAAAAAAAUUACGUACUCGAA